rnacentral:rRNA from 1 species
GAUGAACGCUGGCGGCGUGCCUAAUACAUGCAAGUCGAGCGAAUGGAUUAAGAGCUUGCUCUUAUGAAGUUAGCGGCGGACGGGUGAGUAACACGUGGGUAACCUGCCCAUAAGACUGGGAUAACUCCGGGAAACCGGGGCUAAUACCGGAUAACAUUUUGAACCGCAUGGUUCGAAAUUGAAAGGCGGCUUCGGCUGUCACUUAUGGAUGGACCCGCGUCGCAUUAGCUAGUUGGUGAGGUAACGGCUCACCAAGGCAACGAUGCGUAGCCGACCUGAGAGGGUGAGCGGCCACACUGGGACUGAGACACGGCCCAGACUCCGACGGGAGGCAGCAGUAGGGAAUCUUCCGCAAUGGACGAAAGUCUGACGGAGCAACGCCGCGUGAGUGAUGAAGGCUUUCGGGUCGUAAAACUCUGUUGUUAGGGAAGAACAAGUGCUAGUUGAAUAAGCUGGCACCUUGACGGUACCUAACCAGAAAGCCACGGCUAACUACGUGCCAGCCGCCGCCUAA